GAAUGCUAUGGUGCUUCCUCUGGUGACGCUAACUACCUACAAGGGUGAUCAUCCCAAUUUAAUGCCCUAUGUAUGACUUUCUUACCUGAUCAGGUACAGAAAGCUAUUAAAACCCACAAUAUCCACUGGCAAGAUUCUGAGGUUGCACAAUUCAGCUGAUAGGUUUGGUACUUCUGAGAAUAAAAGGAUCCCAAGAGUAAGACAGAACUUGCCCAAACUACAGUGGCUAAACUUAAACCCAGGAUUCAAAGUAGACCUUUUCGUCUGCAAGGAAGAACUGCUUGAACUGCCUGAUCCUCCCCAUGAUUGUGUUCUCAUAAAUGAACUUGUUACUAAACCAUGUCCUGAUCUUACGGAAAACACAGAUGUGAUCAACAAAACUGGUCAAGAUGCAGGGAAGAUACCUGCCCAACUGUUGUCUGAUUCAUAUGGAUGGAAGUUUACUUGCUGGCUAUGAUCGCUGUGUGGAUGGAUUGUACUGAUAGUCCUUGGUCUCAUCCUAGGAAUAUACACUGUCGUCCGCUUAUGCAUGAAAUGGACUGUACAUUGUUUUCCACCUAAGCCAAAGAAGAGUCUGCUUAAUUGACCCUUGUCUACCCCUCUACCUCCAUGCCUGAACUUCCAUGCUGAAAUCCAGUAUCUUUCAGACUCUACUUCUCUGGACGAUGACCUGGCAGAGGAGGCACUUCACUUAUUUGAAAAUACAAAUUGACUGAAUGGACUAAUUAUUGUCAUAAGCCAAGUAGUUGUCAUGAAAUAACAAAAGAAGGGAAUAAGAAAGUCGAUAGCAUAAAACUUGUUUUUAAACAUUUAAACU